GAACUGUGAACCAUAACCCACUAAACCAAGCCAUAAGCCUCUAAAGAUUUAAAUUUGAAUACAUAAGCUAUGGGCAUUCCCCUGGAAUAAUAUGCCAAAGAAAAUAAAAUAAGCUGAAGAAGUUCGGAUACUGCUGGGAAGAGUCAACAGGGCUCACCAACAGAGUUUAUGGAGUCUGUCUCUAGCUAUGCAUCUCGUCACCUACAACCUUAAUAGCUGUCACACGACGUGGGAGGCCCAAAUGAGUUAAGUACCAUCAAAGAUACUCAAUAAGUCUCAUAGGCUACUUCCUAAAAAGGUGAAGCGAGACCUUUUGGGAAACAUCACAAUAUGAAAAGAAGCGGGUUCACAGGAUAUCAAAAGUCUUCAAAAUCUUUAAACAGGUAAUGAGCUAAAAUUGAAACUAUUAGCUGAACUGUGAACUAAUAACUAAACUUGAAAACUGAGUCUAUAAUUGAAAACUGAAACUGAAAACUACUCAAAACUAAAAUAGAAAACUGAGUUAUUUUUAAAGAAAUAUUUUUUUUGAAAAAUAGUUACACAUAGUAGUCGUAUGUAUGUGAGAUCUGGUAAUACAUACGGGAGAGUGUCGGCCUAUCUCCCAAUAAACAAUAGCCCCUACGAGCGUGAGGUAGCUAGCCCUGGCCUCUUGGCACUCAUGCAAAGGGAGGUCGGCUAGCUCUCCCUUCGGAAUUUGAUCACAUUAAUGCAUGAAUGAUUACUGAAACUGAAUGUUGAACUGAAUGUAAAUAUCACAAGCAAGGGCAUAUCACAAGUGGUGAUACAUGUAAGUAUAUAAUACAGUCACAUUUUCAUAUAAAUUCGUACUGAAUAAGAAUGGAGUGAAUUGAAUACUGAAGCACAAAAAGACAUAGAUUAAGAAUUUCAUCGAAUACAUAGAGCACGAAGGUUCUAACGAAAUUCCCUAUUAAUAGAGUAAGUCAUAAAACUUACCUUUGUUUGACACUCUAAAUAAUUUGAAAGUAUGCUUUAACAAGCUCGAACUGUAAAAACGCGUCCAAUCUACAAAAUAUAACUCAAUUAUAGAAUUCAUAUGGAUACCUAAGUCCAAAAUAAUAUCAAUACUUGUGAAAGAAAAUAUGUGAGUACCUUAAAUAAAGUCUAAAGAUAAUGGUGUCUCACGAUCU
rnacentral:lncRNA from 1 species